rnacentral:rRNA from 1 species
GAGGAAUAUUGCGCAAUGGGGGCAACCCUGACGCAGCGACGCCGCGUGAGUGAGGAAGGCCUUCGGGUCGUAAAGCUCUGUCAAAGGGAAAGAAAUGUAUAAUGGCUAAUACCUGUUAUAUUUGACGGUACCCUUAAAGGAAGCACCGGCUAACUCCGUGCCAGCAGCCGCGGUAAUACGGAGGGUGCAAGCGUUGUUCGGAAUCACUGGGCGUAAAGGGCGCGCAGGCGGUUUGGUAAGUCAGAUGUGAAAGCCCACGGCUUAACCGUGGAAGUGCAUUUGAAACUGCCAGACUUGAGUACCAGAGGGGAAAGUGGAAUUCCCGGUGUAGAGGUGAAAUUCGUAGAUAUCGGGAGGAAUACCGGUGGCGAAGGCGACUUUCUGGCUGGAUACUGACGCUGAGGCGCGAAAGCGUGGGGAGCAAAC